UACGUAGGGUGCAAGCGUUGUCCGGAAUUAUUGGGCGUAAAGAGCUCGUAGGCGGUCUGUCGCGUCUGCUGUGAAAACCUAGGGCUUAACUCUGGGCGUGCAGUGGGUACGGGCAGGCUAGAGUGCGGUAGGGGGAGACUGGAAUUCCUGGUGUAGCGGUGAAAUGCGCAGAUAUCAGGAGGAACACCGGUGGCGAAGGCGGGUCUCUGGGCCGUAACUGGACGCUGAGGAGCGAAAGCAUGGGGAGCGAACAGG
rnacentral:rRNA from 1 species